AAAUAAGCGUUGAUAUGGUGUAAGUAGACAGGAUUUGCGUUUUAAGAGAGUGUGCGGUGGGUGCAAGCACAUAGCGCGGUUUUAUCGAAUUUCAGCCAUGGAGCUCUUUGCGAGAAACUAAGCAAAGCGUCGUGUCGCGUUAAGGCAAUCGAGCGGCAAUUUUUAUAAUUGCAAUUUGAGUGGUACCACGGAUUAUUCCGCCUCAUAU
rnacentral:ncRNA from 1 species